AAGUCGUAACAAGGUUUCCGUAGGUGAACCUGCGGAAGGAUCAUUAACACUUUUCAAAAGUUUUUCUUUUUUUGGAAAGAAAAACUUAUUCUACCCACCUUUUGGAUGAACUUUUUCGAUGGGGAGAUAUCAUACAGCUUCUAUUUGGAAGUGGUGUGUAUAUCUUUUUUAUCAUUUUUUUCAUUAUUUCAAACUUUUAACCCCAAAAAACCAAUUUAUUUUACAAAUUGCUAUAUCUUGAAAAAGCCUAACAUGUGUGUGGGUUUGUGUUGGGUGAUCGAUGCAAAUUGAUCACCGCCAAAAGCAAACCUAUCACUUCAAGAAAUCCUAAAAACUAAGAAAACAACUCUUAACAACGGAUAUCUUGGCUCUC
rnacentral:misc_RNA from 1 species